GGUUGAUCCUGCCGGAGGCCACUGCUAUGGGGGUCCGACUAAGCCAUGCGAGUCAUGGGGCGCCUUGCGCGCACCGGCGGACGGCUCAGUAACACGUCGGUAACCUACCCUCGGGAGGGGGAUAACCCCGGGAAACUGGGGCUAAUCCCCCGUAGGCCUGAGGUACUGGAAGGUCCUCAGGCCGAAAGGGUCUUUGACCGCCCGAGGAUGGGCCGGCGGCCGAUUAGGUAGUUGGUGGGGUAACGGCCCACCAAGCCCAAGAUCGGUACGGGCCAUGAGAGUGGGAGCCCGGAGAUGGACACUG
rnacentral:rRNA from 1 species